AAGGUGCGAACUCGUCGUGU
rnacentral:misc_RNA from 1 species